AUUGCCCCAGUAACGGCGAGUGAAGCGGCAACAGCUCAAAUUUGAAAUCUGGCCCCCAGGGCCCGAGUUGUAAUUUGCAGAGGAUGCUUUUGGCGAGGCGCCUUCCGAGUUCCCUGGAACGGGACGCCAUAGAGGGUGAGAGCCCCGUCUGGUUGGAUGCCAAGUCUCUAUAAAGCUCCUUCGACGAGUCGAGUAGUUUGGGAAUGCUGCUCUAAAUGGGAGGUAUAUGUCUUCUAAAGCUAAAUACCGGCCAGAGACCGAUAGCGCACAAGUAGAGUGAUCGAAAGAUGAAAAGCACUUUGAAAAGAGGGUUAAAUAGUACGUGAAAUUGUUGAAAGGGAAGCGCUUAUGACCAGACUUGGGCCCAGUGAAUCACCCAGCGUUCUCGCUGGUGCACUUUGCCGGGCUCAGGCCAGCAUCAGUUCGCCCUUGGGGGAUAAAGGCCUUGGGAAUGUGGCUCCCUCGGGAGUGUUAUAGCCCAAUGCACAAUACCCUGGGGCGGACUGAGGUUCGCGCAUCUGCAAGGAUGCUGGCGUAAUGGUCAUCAGCGACCCGUCUUGAAACACGGACCAAGGAGUCGUCUUCGUAUGCAAGUGUUCGGGUGUAAAACCCCUACGCGUAAUGAAAGUGAACGCAGGUGAGAGCUUCGGCGCAUCAUCGACCGAUCCUGAUGUUCUCGGAUGGAUUUGAGUAAGAGCAUACGGGGCCGGACCCGAAAGAAGGUGAACUAUGCCUGUAUAGGGUGAAGCCAGAGAAACUCUGGUGGAGCUCGCAGCGGUUCUGACGUGCAAAUCGAUCGUCAAAUAUGGGCAUGGGGGCGAAAGACUAAUCGAACCUUCUAGUAGCUGGUUUC
rnacentral:rRNA from 1 species